UCUAGAGAUUGUGCAGCAGCCGCGCGGUAAUACGUAGGGGGCGAGCGUUGCCCGAAUUUACUGGGCGUAAAGCGCACGUAGGCGGCUCCGUAAGUCUGGUGUGAAAUCUCACGGCUCAACCGGGAGGCUGCACCGGAUACUGCGGAGCUCGAGGACGGGAGAGGAGAUUGGAAUUCCCGGUGUAGCGGUGAAAUGCAUUGAUAUCGGGAGGAACACCAGUGGCGAAGGCGGAUCUCUGGCCCGUUGCUGACGCUGAGGUGCGAAAGCUGGGGGAGCGAAAGGGAUUGGAUACCCCUGUAGUCCCAGCCCUAAACGAUGGGCGCUAGGUGUUGGGGGAUUACCCCUCGGCGCCGUAGCUAACGCAUUAAGCGCCCCGCCUGGGGAGUACGGCCGCAAGGUUGAAACUCAAAGGAAUUGACGGGGGCCCGCACAAGCGGUGGAGCAUGUGGAUUAAUUCGAUACAAACCGAAGAACCUUACCUGGGCUUGACAUCCACGAGCAACUCCCUGGAAACAGGGAGCCUCGAUGGGGAAACCCAUCGACCCGUGGACACCGGUUGCAUGGCUGUCGUCAGCUCGUGCCGUGAGGUGUUGGGUUAAGUCCCGCAACGAGCGCAACCCUUGUCCUCUGUUGCCAGCGGGUCAUGCCGGGCACUCGGAGGAGACUGCCGUGGUCAACACGGAGGAAGGUGGGGACGACGUCAAGUCAGCAUGGCGGUUACGUCCAGGGCGUCACACAUGCUACAAUGGGUGGUACAAAGGGCAGCCAACGCGCGAGCGGGAGCGAAUCCCAAAAAACCACCCUCAGUUGGGAUCGCAGUCUGCAACUCGACUGCGUGAACGCGGAAUCGCUAGUAACGGCGGGUCAGCCAUACCGCCGUGAAUACGUUCCCGGGCCUUGCACACACCGCCCGUCA
rnacentral:rRNA from 1 species